UUUUCCCUCCGAAGCAGACAUUUCCCCCAUCGAGCAGGACCAAAAAUUUCUCCCCCCAUUUCCGGCGACCCAUUUCCCCAUUCCGGCCGUUCUCCCCCCUUUUUCGGCUCCGACCUGCAAUCUCUGGCCGUCUACACUGCCGCCCUACAUUCCCCCAUUUCCGGCGACCCAUUUCCCCCAUUCCGGUCGAUCUCCCCCAUUUUCGGCACCGGUAGCGAUUUCUGGCCGUCUUCUAUCCCCGACCGAGCUUCCACCGUCUUGCUCCGAAGACCCAUCGACCGUUCCGCUUCGACGAGCCCAACCGAGCCACCACUGCAGACGACUCCGACGACCAUCCACCCAUGGUUGUAAAUGUAAAUAUUUAGACUGGGUUAAUGAUCCUUCCAUAUGCGAGCAUGGCGAAAGAGUUUUGAACCGGUUAAAGGAUAAAUACAUAUGCCUAAAAGAUAAAAAAGAAAGGCUACAGGCUGCGAUUGCGAAGAGCGAUACAGUAGAAAAGGAAAAAUGCUAGUGCAAGGAAGAAAUGGAAAUGGAAGUUGCCGAAUGUCAAAAGAAGUUGGCGGUUGAAAUAGACUAAAUGUGUUUUUCUUUUAUCUAUAAAAUUUUGUUGAGCAGUGCUACGAUGGGGCAAAACUUCCAGAAAUCAUCCGGAAGUUUUGCCCCAUCCAAGUUUUACCCAAUUUUGUUUAUAGCAUUAUAUGUUCCUAGGAUAUAGUGAAAUUUUUAUGUUGUAAUGUUGAAUAAUGGAUAAGCACUACAAAUGUUGGAUGUCAUUGUAAUGUUGCUUUUGCUUAUGUGGAAUGCAUCUUGGCCUUGGGUGUUUGGUAUGCUCGUUAAUGACUUUGGCCUUCUAAAAUGUCUCUGUGUAGUUUAUACAGUUCUCUAUACAGCUCAUGUGCGUACAUGUUUAAGCGA